rnacentral:lncRNA from 1 species
GGAUUGGGUUCUUCUGUACUAAUCUUCCAACAUCUUCACAUUUAAGGAACUGCCCACAUCCUUUCACUGGAAGAAUCCUCUACUGGAGGGAUGAGGAACUUGAGAAGAUCCAUCCAAAUUUUCCAGGGACUCAAGUCUCUGCUGAUAUUUUUGUUAUUACCGAUAUUCCUAAUCCUAAAAGAAUCAGGCAGGAGACCAUGUUGUAGAGAUGUUGAUUCCAAAGUUGGUGUCCUGUUUUCUUUCCCUUACAUCACAAGCAAAGUGAAGAACAUUGUCCUAAGGAACAACAGCAACAACAACAAAAACCCAAUGCAAACAGUAUGGAAAGUGAUCCUUAUUUCAUGAAGAUCAGUAAAGUCAAACAGCGAGCCACAGGUAUGUAUGAAUUCAGGGCCUUAGCAGAUCUAGUUGGGUCUGUAAAAAUAAAAAGAUACUA